GAGUUUGAUCCUGGCUCAGAUUGAACGCUGGCGGCAGGCCUAACACAUGCAAGUCGAGCGGCAGCGGGAAGAUAGCUUGCUAUCUUCGCCGACGAGCGGCGGACGGGUGAGUAAUACCUGGGGAUCUGCCCAAUCGAGGGGGAUAACAGUUGGAAACGACUGCUAAUACCGCAUACGCCCUACGGGGGAAAGGAGGGGACCUUCGGGCCUUCCGCGAUUGGAUGAACCCAGGCGGGAUUAGCUAGUAGGUGAGGUAAUGGCUCACCUAGGCGACGAUCCCUAGCUGUUCUGAGAGGNUGGACAGCCACACUGGAACUGAGACACGGUCCAGACUCCUACGGGAGGCAGCAGUGGGGAAUAUUGGACAAUGGGGGAAACCCUGAUCCAGCCAUGCCGCGUGUGUGAAGAAGGCCUUCGGGUUGUAAAGCACUUUCAGUGGGGAGGAAAGGUUGAUGGUUAAUACCUAUCAGCUGUGACGUUACCCACAGAAGAAGCACCGGCUAACUCCGUGCCAUCAGCCGCGGU
rnacentral:rRNA from 1 species